rnacentral:rRNA from 1 species
AUUGAACGCUGGCGGCAGGCCUAACACAUGCAAGUCGGACGGUAGCACAGAGGAGCUUGCUCCUCGGGUGACGAGUGGCGGACGGGUGAGUAAUGUCUGGGGAUCUGCCCGAUAGAGGGGGAUAACCACUGGAAACGGUGGCUAAUACCGCAUAACGUCGCAAGACCAAAGAGGGGGACCUUCGGGCCUCUCACUAUCGGAUGAACCCAGAUGGGAUUAGCUAGUAGGCGGGGUAACGGCCCACCUAGGCGACGAUCCCUAGCUGGUCUGGGAGGAUGACCAGCCACACUGGAACUGAGACACGGUCCAGACUCCUACGGGAGGCAGCAGUGGGGAAUAUUGCACAAUGGGCGCAAGCCUGAUGCAGCCAUGCCGCGUGUAUGAAGACGGCCUUCGGGUUGUAAAGUACUUUCAGCGGGGAGGAAGGCGAUGUGGUUAAUAACCGCGUCGAUUGACGUUACCCGCAGAAGAAGCACCGGCUAACUCCGUGCCAGCCGCCGCGGUAA